CAAGUCGAGUGCGCGUCCGUAGCAAUACGGAUGGCGCACGGCGCACGGGUGAGUAACACGUGGGCAAUCUGCCCUUCGAUGGGGAAUAACUCCGGGAAACCGAAGCUAAUUCCGCAUAACAUUCCUUGGACUUCGGUUCGAGGACUCAAAGCCGUAAGGCGUCGAAGGAGGAGCCCGCGCCCGAUUAGCUAGUUGGUGAGGUAACGGCUCACCAAGGCUAUGAUCGGUAGCUGGUCUGAGAGGAUGGCCAGCCACACUGGAACUGAGACACGGUCCAGACUCCUACGGGAGGCAGCAGUGGGGAAUCUUGCACAAUGGGCGAAAGCCUGAUGCAGCGACGCCGCGUGGGGGAUGAAGCAUCUCGGUGUGUAAACCCCUUUCGACCCGGAAGAAUGCCUCGCAAGAGGACUGACGGUACGGGUAUAAGAAGCCCCGGCUAACUACGUGCCAGCAGCCGCGGUAAGACGUAGGGGGCCAGCGUUGUUCGGAAUUACUGGGUGUAAAGGGUUCGUAGGCGGUGUGGCAAGUCGGGAGUGAAAUCUCUGGGCUCAACCCAGAGGCUGCUUCCGAAACUGCCGUGCUUGAGUGUGGGAGAGGCGCGUGGAAUUGCAGGUGUAGCGGUGAAAUGCGUAGAUAUCUGCAGGAACACCCGUGGCGAAAGCGGCGCGCUGGACCACUACUGACGCUGAGGAACGAAAGCUAGGGGAGCAAACAGGAUUAGAUACCCUGGUAGUCCUAGCCCUAAACGAUCAGGACUUGGGGUGCCACCCGUUCGGGUGUCGUCCCGGAGCUAACGCGUUAAGUCCUGCACCUGGGGAGUACGGUCGCAAGACUGAAACUCAAAGGAAUUGACGGGGGCCCGCACAAGCGGUGGAACAUGUGGUUCAAUUCGACGCUACGCGAGGAACCUUACCUGGGCUCGAAAUGCUGGUGACCAGCUGUAGAAAUACG
rnacentral:rRNA from 1 species